GUCAGGGUCACCUGGGGGUUGGUGGGGGGUCGAUGGGGUGGAGUAAUGGUGAGUGAUGUUUAAGAACAGCAUUCUGUGGUGCUUUUGCUGGUUGCCAAUAAGGGUGGAGUAAUAAUGUAUCUUGGCUUCGGAAAGGGCUUCCUUGUAUAGCUCAUGUGGUCUUUGUAGGCCUCCAGUUGGACGGUGAGGCCAGUUCUUUCCAGUUGACAACCAGAGGCCUUCAUGGAGCGGACUUAGGUCAUGUGCCAAGGAGCUGAACAGGUGAAGGAGACAAAACCGGUUUGAAGGUGUGCAAGAGAAUCAAGGCUGAGAGACAGAGCAGUGUUGUAGUGGGCUGCCAGGGCAUCUGCUGUGGUUAGGGUUUUUUGGAGGGUGACUAAUAGAUUUGUUAAAGCAGGCUAAUCGAUUUGUUUCUAAGUGUAAUAGUAAAGAGGACAGCACGACUAUCAGAGAUCGCAAGGUCUAGGCACUGCAGGUGGAGGGGUGUGGUGCCACUGGAGCACACCAAAGGUCCAAUGUGUGACCUAUGGUGUGAGUGGGACCUUGGACAUGCUGUGCUAAGUUGAAACAUUCCUGUAGAGAUAAAAAUUCAGUGGCCAGAGUGCAGAUGCCAAAUAGAUAUUAAAGUCACAGAGGGGGAGUGUGGAAGGAGACCUGGAGCAGACAGAGGUGAGUAGCUCAGAUAGACAUGAAGGUGGUGGAGGCUUUAGGGGGACGGUAGAUAAGGACAGAUUGAAGUGGAGCCAACCCAGUUAGACUGAAAGCAAGGCAUUCCAUAGAGGUGGCAUUGGUUACUGGAAGCUCUUUGACCAGGAAAUUCUUUCAGUGUAUUACAGCCAGCCCACCACCACGGCCCUUGAAGUGAGGCUUCUGGAUGUACGCGUAGCCUGGUGGGGUGGUUUGUUUCAGUGCAAUAUAAUGCUCUUGAUUUUGCCUAGGUUUCAGUUAAGCAGAGAAAGUCUAUUUUCUGUAAUGAUUUCAUAGAUGAGAAGUGCUUUAUUGUUAAUGUAGAGGGCAUUUUGCAGCAUAAAUGAAGCUGUAUUGUUUGUGAGUGGUGUGCAGGAGGGGGUGGGAGGAGUGACACUGCCAACACACACUAGAGGUCUCAAGUUACCAGACUGCACAUGUGGUUUUUUUGUGAUGACGUCGACGCAGUGGGGUGGAGCGUCGAUAAGACAGUAUAGUGGGGAUAAUGUGAUUGUAGCCCUUUGCACAUAACGAGAAAGUGUCUGCAAUGCAAGCUGAAACAACAUAGCAGAUGAGGUUGAGAAGCUAUAGUGAUGAAUACUAUCAUACCAUCACUACUACAGUGAUGCACCGUAGGCGCUAGUCGGGCGGUUCCUCAACGCUACCAGCUGAUUGGCGGAGACAGUGAGUAUGUGUACUGAUAAUACAGUAGUUAUGGCGGAAGAAGGGCCAGUUGGGAGUUUGGAGUGAGAAUCCACUGAUGUUUGGAGGGAUAAUCAUCAGAAAUCCAGUGAAGUGAAGACACCUGUAUUUCGCUAGCUGUAGCCGGGAGGCUGGGAGCUAGCAGGUGGAAGCUAUCAGGUGUUCGACAAUCCCCACUCCGUUCAUGAAGAUGCAGCUUGCCUGCCCCGCUCUGUGUUCUUGGAGCUUGGUUUCCCUCAGCCUGCCCGCUCUCUGCCUCAAGCCCACGCACAUUCUCAACCUGUCGAUAAACUGUUCUUCGUGUGAACUAAGCCGCAUUGUGUCCGCUUUUGGAUCCUCUCAGCUGCUCCUAACAAUAGAUAAUCCUUAUAAAAUGUCUAAAUUCUU